rnacentral:rRNA from 1 species
GGAGUCUGGGCCGUAUCUCAGUCCCAAUGUGGCCGUUCAACCUCUCAGUCCGGCUACUGAUCGUCGACUUGGUGGGCCGUUACCCCGCCAACUAUCUAAUCAGACGCGAGGCCAUCUCAGAGCGAUAAAUCUUUGGCGUCAGAGCCAUGCGACCCCGACGCAUCAUGCGGUAUUAGCAGCCGUUUCCAGCUGUUGUCCCCCUCUCCAAGGCAGGUUCCUCACGCGUUACUCACCCGUCCGCCACUUUCCUCACCUUCCGUUGUCCGAAAACUCCUUCCGGUGAUUCUCGUUCGACUUGCAUGUGUUAAGCACGCCGCCAGCGUUCGUCCUGAGCCACGGAGUCAAACUCU